rnacentral:lncRNA from 1 species
AGAGAGCUACUCUUGCACGAUCGUGCUCACUAGAAGAUUGCACCAGGUCCCCUGCAAAGAAGGCGAACCAACAAGGCUUGAUUGCCUGACUCUUCUUCCUGAUUAAUAUGCUGUCCUCUUCAUUCUUUUUAAUGGGCAAAAGUUUCACUUUUCUGAAAGAAUUGCCUCCUUUCAAGGCAAUUGGACUCUUAGUGGGAUAAAGGAACAUUAGCUACAGUGCUCUGAGUGGAGGGGGAAGCAGCUGAUUCAGAUAUCUGGAGGGACAGCAUUAUAAUUCAAAACUUGACCUCCGGUUGGAUGGUGCUUCUCUUCCAUGCUAGGACUGGAUUUGGUUGUGUUGUUACAGACGCACCAUUGUGAGUCCAGAUUGUGCCCAGCUGCUGCAUGGGUACACAAAGAGCUGAGAAAGCUGCAGGGAGCCUCUUCGUUGUGUGUUCCUGGACAGCAGCCAACCUCCCAUCAAAGGUUGCCCAUUUCUUGAGAAAGCACAGAGCUUGCUCCAUCCCCCAGCAAUGCCUCAAGCCAAAGGUGUCCAAAUGGAGACAGAAAGGGUAUUUCCAGUGCCCCGGUUUGCGGGACAGAGUGUACAAGGUGGGGAGCGAAAUCUGCACUGCUAGAGAAGGGAGAGCCACACUCCAUUAGGAGAGAUGUUGAGAGCUUAUUCUUUACUACAGCUGGUCCUGACAGGCAUUUAUCUAACUAUAUAAUCAGUUCUUGAAUUACAUUCCCUUCAGUCAAGCUACAUGCCUACCUUUCUAAAUUUACAGCUUGCUCAGUGAACACUGUUUCUGGUAGGAAUCCAUCAGUCUGCAAGUUUGUUAAAGGCGUGAUGUUAUCGGCAGUUCAGUUUCAGGGUUUUUCACAUGCUGCUGUGCUGCACAAGAAAAGCGAAGCAGCAGGGGAAGCGUGGAUGUUAGAGAGAAUAAUAGCAUAGCAGAAAGCUUUCUGAUUCUCAAACAACUGGGGAUUCCUUCUGAUAACAUGGGAUUACAGUGGAUUUGCAACUAGGACAUUGGGUUUUACUAAGUUGGUGUAUCAAAGCUUUUCCC